rnacentral:rRNA from 1 species
UACAGAGGGUGCAAGCGUUGUUCGGAAUUAUUGGGCGUAAAGCGCACGUAGGCGGUUUGACAAGUCGGGUGUGAAAUCCCAGGGCUUAACCCUGGAAGUGCACUCGAAACUGUCUGACUAGAGUCCCGGAGAGGGUGGUGGAAUUCCUGGUGUAGAGGUGAAAUUCGUAGAUAUCAGGAGGAACAUCGGUGGCGAAGGCGACCACCUGGACGAUGACUGACGCUGAGGUGCGAAAGCGCGGGUAGCAAACAGG